rnacentral:rRNA from 1 species
GACGAACCGAGCGAACGUUAUUCGGAAUCACUGGGCUUAAAGGGCGCGUAGGCGGGCGGCCAAGUCAGGUGUGAAAGCCCCCAGCUCAACUGGGGAAGUGCCUCUGAUACUGGUCAUCUCGAGGGAGAUAGGGGCGUGCGGAACUUCCGGUGGAGCGGUGAAAUGCGUAGAUAUCGGAAGGAACACCGGUGGCGAAAGCGGCGCGCUGGAUCUCUUCUGACGCUGAGGCGCGAAAGCCAGGGGAGCGAACGGG